CGACUAUUAGAUAAGCCAAGUCCAUCUGUUCCUUUGAGAUCUGAAUCUAAGUUAAACCAAGAUGUUGUAUGGAGAUGAAAACCAGCAGGAUAGUUCUGUGGCUGUCCCAUGAGCUCACUCAGACCUCCCCAGGUCACUCCAGAGGAUCUGGAAUUGCAUGGUUGAGGCACAUGGAUGGCCCUUGGCUCCACCUUCUGAGACUACUCUUGCCUGGGGACGGCAGCUGCAGUAGCAACCACCACGAGCCGCCAGCUCUGCUUUAGAAAGACAGAACUGCAGCUGCAGAGUAAACAAACCACACAGUGACCUUGCGUCUCUUUGUUUCCUACCUCUCUGUGAGGGCCUUACGGUCUUACCCUUCCCCAGGUGACAACUCGAGAACAGCUUGCUCUGAUGGUUUCGAAAGCAGAUUCGGAACAACUCAAUCAACCAACCACUGCAUGUGCCGCUGGGCUUCAGCCAAUGGACCAGAGCCAGGGAGCAUCGGAUGCUGAGGGCCAGGGACACAGGUUCUCCAAGUGCUGAGCUCUGGACACUGGCACUCACUGGAGUGAUGAAUGGGUAGUUUUUAUUAUUGACUUGAUUGGGUUAAUAAACAGCUAAUGGAUUAGUGAGAUA